CUUUUCAUGACACCAACGAAGACAGGCGACUGAAAUCUUCUUAGCGUGUCAGCCUGACUAAUAAUAAUCCAUAUUUCUGUUCUACUUGGGAAGUGAUGUGUACUAUGAAAAACAUUUCUCUGGAGAUCAUGUGAAGAUUUGUCCAAGAAGCCUAUUUUCUUCUAAUCAGAAUUAUGGACUGAGAGACAUUGUGCUGAAUGUUCAAAGGUGUUUAAAACAGUUGUUGAAGAACAGGACCAUAUAGAACCAGGGUCAUGUCAAAACUAUAUAUAAAUGAAGUAGUCAUCAUUUGUCGGAUCUAUACUGUCUAUUAUUUAUAACUAAAUAUAAAUUAAUAGUAUAUAUAUCUUCAAUUUAUACUGCAUCUAUAAAUCAUGUCAUUUAGCUAUAAAACAUGGCAAUUAGAGAGGGUCAAUAGCAGUAUUCGUCAGGAAAGAGGUGAAGAUUAUGUGGACUAUGUGAGGAGGAAUACAUCAACAAGAAGAUUAGUUGAUCCAGAGAGACUUGUGCAUGGUUUGGCCAAUCUUAAUGAUGGAACAUCUCACAGAAGAAUCUGCAACCUUAUUCUUCAUCAGUAUGAACUGGCGAGAGAUGUGGGUGAUUGGAGAUGGAUCGAGGCCCUCAGAAGGGAGUGCAGUACUAUUCUGUGUUCAGCGAGAUGGGUGGAUGACCACCUGCCAUCACUGGUUCAUGAAGCUCAUUCACAGAAAAGAGUACGCUGGUCAGUCACUGCAUCUUCUGACACUUCAGCUUCGAUGUGUGUGGACAUUCAUCUCCGUUCUAACCUAGACUUGCAGUUUGAGCGAGAAAACACUGUUGAUGGCAAACACCAAACUCCAUAUGUUACCCCAGUGAUGGAGGCCUCUGCAUACAGACAUGGUUUUUCCAAAGAACGUCCUGUGUCAACCAGAGAAGAUCCAUACCUGACCAAGAACUUUCAUUAUGACAAGACUAAGCCAAAGACAAUUACGAGUGCUCAUACUGUGGAAGCAAAUGAAGGCAGUAUGGAGAUCCCUUCUAAACGAGUACGUCUCGACUGUGAUUAUCAAGAACUGACCCAAGAGGUGAAGCUGCAGUUUCCAUCAUCUUUCCAGAGAUGUCCGUUUCUAGGAUGUGAUGUUAGGGAAAAGAAGAUCAAACGGCACGCGCAGAGUAAACACCUUCCAAGGAUUUUUAAUGAUAUAAAACCAAUACGAUCAUUGGACGAUAAAUCUUUAUGCCAACUCCAGAUGUCUGCGUUGUCAUCUCUGGUGAAGAGUGCAUUGGGACCAGAUGCUGAUUUACUAACAGCGGUUGACUACUUGAAUUGUUCCAAUAUUAUUCCAUCAAACGCAGUUGUUCAUGUUGACACUGCUUCAUCCAUGCACAGACUCUGUUCGUACCAAGGAUGGACGGAACCUUCGGAGGGUUUCAGGUUGUCGCCAAUCAACUCUCCUGCUGUUCUUGUCCAUUGGAGAUGUUUGGUUGCUUUGAUGUCUUUUUUGCAGCCCAUGCAAUGUGAAGAAUUUCGUGUCCAUGGGCAUGUUAUUAGCGACAUGCGGUCUGUUACCAAUACUUCAGACAUUGGUGGGUCCGUUGUGAAUACAUUGACAGAGGAUAAGUAUAAAGUUGUUGAUGUUCAUUAUGGUUCUGACUUUGAAAUUCCUCAUCAAUCUGCACCUCAUGUAGUAAGUCAUUCAAAAACCAAUGCCCUUGAAGUACAAGAGUCAUCUACCUCAAAUGUGAAUGAAGCCUUUGAUAGCCAUUUUCAUUUGGACCACACUUGUGCAAGGAUAUGGGGGCAUUAUUCACCUUCUGGAAAUACGAUGGAGGAUCUACACUCGGUUAUCAAUCAGAGCAGUUUCCAGCCAAUGUUGAAAGUUAAUAUUGUAGGAGGUGUUAUCAACUACAGUGAGCCUUCAGCACACCCUGAAUUCAUUCAAGCUGGAGGAUCUUGGGGGAUAGCUCUUGGUGUACACCCUAAACAUGUUAGCGAGCUCACAGCAGAAAAACUCCUUCGUCUGAAGAAUUUACUGCAUCAUCCCAGUGUAGUGGGUUUAGGUGAAACUGGAUUGGAUAGGACUGUUCCUGUAAAGCUGUGGAGACAGCAGGAAAAAGUUUUUCGCCAAGUUCUUUCCCUUGUAAGUCAAAACAAGGUAUUGAUUCUCCAUCUCCGAGGAACUCCAGCAGACCGAAUAGGAAUAGACGUGCAUGCACGGUGUAUGCAGAUUCUGAAGAAAUUUUGUGGAUACACUCAGCCAAUUCAUGUCCACUGCUUUACGGGAGAUACUGAAUUGGUCACGGAAUGGAUGAGCAACUUCUCUAACGUGUAUUUUGGUUUCACUGGUGCUGUGGAGAACUUUAGUUCUGAUCAAGUUGCAGGCCUACAAUCUGUCCCUUUAAACCGGAUUCUUUUAGAAACCGAUUCCCCUUCCAUGCGACCAGGAGGAGGGAACAUCAACACUCCGGCUUUCAUUGGGGAUGUUGCGAGCCUCGUAGCAUCAAAGCUACAGAUUCCAGAACAUCGCCUAUUGAAAGAGACUGUUCAAAAUGGUCAUCGAUUAUAUGGCUGUUAGAAUAUGAAUGUCUCUGCAGAAUUUAAGUCUGGAUAAUUUCCGACAAAAUUCAUGCAGAAUAUCUCUUGUAUAUAAUUACCACAGUAUAGGUCUGAGUGUUGUUUCGACCAAGUAACUUGUAUAAAUUCUUUAAUAUCAACUGUACAUGUAUAUUGAACAAUUCUUCGUAAAUCUUUACAUCAUUAAAUCUUUAUAGUCAUUAAAAUGAAAUGGAAAGGAAUGAAGUAAACUAGGGUUUCACACUGUUCAUAUGUUUCCUCAAUACCUCUCUAUGCCUGACCUCUGACCCUGGUCUACCCCUCACUGGGCAUGUAAUGUGGUGUCCACUAGAACAGCAGCAGUUCAGACCCCAGCAUCCCUGAUGUCCAGACAUAUUACAUACCUAUGUUUAUCCAUGUGUGCAUACAUUUACAUGAAUAUAUUUGCUGGAACCCCUUUUCUUUCUGAGGAUCAGAAAGUUGUUGUGGAUGAUGACAAUGGUACAUUUGCGAAAAGAUCUUCCUAUCUCAAACUUAUCCAGAAAAAGUUCCCAGAGAAGACCAUAGCUCUGGUCAGUGUUCAGCCUAAAUAUGGCCAGUCCCAGGUG